rnacentral:rRNA from 1 species
UGGGGAAUAUUGCACAAUGGGGGAAACCCUGAUGCAGCGACGCCGCGUGAACGAAGAAGUAUUUCGGUAUGUAAAGUUCUAUCAGCAGGGAAGAUAAUGACGGUACCUAACAAGAAAGCACCGGCUAACUACGUGCCAGCAGCCGCGGUAAAACGUAGGGUGCAAGCGUUGUCCGGAAUUACUGGGUGUAAAGGGAGCGCAGGCGGGAAGACAAGUUGGAAGUGAAAACCAUGGGCUCAACCCAUGAAUUGCUUUCAAAACUGUUUUUCUUGAGUAGUGCAGAGGUAGAUGGAAUUCCCGGUGUAGCGGUGGAAUGCGUAGAUAUCGGGAGGAACACCAGUGGCGAAGGCGGUCUACUGGGGCACCAACUGACGCUGAGGCUCGAAAGCAU